rnacentral:rRNA from 1 species
CAAUAGCGUAUAUCUAAGUUGUUGCAGUUAAAAAGCUCGUAGUUGGAUUUCGGAUGGGAUUUGCCGGUCCGUCGUUACGAUGUGCACUGGCCAGUCCUAUCUUGUUGUCGGGGACUAGCUCCUUGGAUUCACUUCCUGGGACUAGGAGCUGACGAGGUUACUUUGAGUAAAUUAGAGUGUUCAAAGCAAGCCUACGCUCUGAAUACAUUAGCAUGGAAUAACACGAUAGGACUCUGGCUUAUCUUGUUGGUCUGUGAGACCAGAGUAAUGAUUAAGAGGGACAGUCGGGGACAUUCGUAUUUCAUUGUCAGAGGUGGAAUUCUUGGAUUUAUGAAAGACGAACUUCUGCGAAAGCAUUUGUCAAGGAUGUUUUCAUUAA